GACGAACGCUGGCGGCGUGCUUAACACAUGCAAGUCGAACGGAAAGGCCUGCUUUCCCUUGUGGAUUGCGGGUACUCGAGUGGCGAACGGGUGAGUAACACGUGAGUGAUCUGCCCCCAACUUGGGUAUAAGCCUGGGAAACUGGGUCUAAUUCCCGAUAGGACUGCAGGGUGGUGCCUGUGGUGGAAAACGAUCUUCUAGUGGUUGGGGAUGAGCUCGCGGCCUAUCAGCUUGUUGGUGGGGUAAUGGCCUACCAAGGCGGCGACGGGUAGCCGGCCUGAGAGGGUGGACGGCCACAUUGGGACUGAGAUACGGCCCAGACUCCUACGGGCGGCAGCAGUGGGGAAUAUUGCACAAUGGGCGGAAGCCUGAUGCAGCGACGCCGCGUGGGGGAUGACGGCCUUCGGGUUGUAAACUCCUUUCGACCGCGAGGAAGCCACCUGGUUGGAAGGGUGGUGACGGUAGUGGUAGAAGAAGCACCGGCUAACUACGUG
rnacentral:rRNA from 1 species